AUAGGUAGAUAGAUGACAAUAGAUAGGUGCAUAGAUAGGUAGAUCACAUUUUGUAGGAAUUAAUAGGGCAUGAGAAGUCUGCAAACAUCAAAUCCAUCUAUCUCCGCUAAAUUGAAAGACAUAAAUGGCCUCAUUGCAUUACGCACCUCCUAAAAUACCUUUUUGGGCACCUAACAUAUGACUGCACACUGAUGAGGAGGAUUAGGAAGAAUAUACGACAAUGCCAAGGAGGAUUACUGCUACAGGUCAGGGUCCUCAGGGAGCAGACCCUGAGUUGGAGAUUAGUGUGAAGGAAGAAAGCUAGAAUGGGCAGAGGGAGAAGUUGGGCUGAGAUGUAGUCUCAUUAACAGCCUCAGCUGAUGCCACCACAAGUCAGAAUGGCAUUUCAAAGUUGUGCCAAGCUGAAAUGAGUGGUCCAGGCUUUCAUGUCUUUGCAUAGGCCAAUCACUGGAUGCAACCUGCCCCAGGAAAGAGGGAUGACCUCGGACAAGAUGGCCCUUCAAUGAGGACAACUCCUGAAGAGGGCUGACAGGAAAUAAAAGGCUGGAACCAGUCCCCCUGAGAAUGGGAUGAGAAGAGAAGUCCUCAUAGAAGUCACAGAAAUAAGACAGAGCUGACAUGUUCACUGUGGUCUCUGCCCACCACCCCAGCCCAAUACCUUGACCACACAUGAUUACUUAAUGAGGUGUCAAACAUCCUAGUUUGUCCAGGACAGUUCAAGAUUGUACUUGAUAUUCAGGCAAUAUGAUUAAUCCAGUUCCUUUCACUCUCAAAACUGGCCCAGUUUGAAUGAUAAAAUGGAAGUUGACCUUACCAAUCAACCGCAGCCUUCUUUCCCACUGAGCCCAGGUGCAACCUCAAAAUCCUUUUCUACACAGCCUUCUUUCUAGGCAACAGCUAUCAAUCAAUCAGGUAUUGAAAUCAACUUGCCACCAUAAACUUCACUGCAGGUCCAGCGAGAGUCCAGGCUUCAAGAGGGAAGAAAAGAGCCACUCUUCUGGAAGCACCUGGGACUCAGGCACUGCCUAUCAUUCUGAAGAGCAGGGGUCAGGCCAGCAAGCUGGGCUCAUGAGUAAAGGCAGGUGGAGAAGAUCAUCUAGAGGGGUCAUCAGAAAGUUUAGGUCUCAACUUUUC
rnacentral:lncRNA from 10 species